GACGAACGCUGGCGGCGUGCUUAACACAUGCAAGUCGAGCGGUAAGGCCCUUUCGGGGGUACACGAGCGGCGAACGGGUGAGUAACACGUGGGUGACCUGCCCUCAGCUCUGGGAUAAGCCUGGGAAACCGGGUCUAAUACUGGAUAUGACUCCAUGACGCAUGUUGUGGGGUGGAAAGCCUUGUGCGGCUGAGGAUGGGCCCGCGGCCUAUCAGCUUGUUGGUGGGGNGAUGGCCUACCAAGGCGACGACGGGUAGCCGGCCUGAGAGGGCGACCGGCCACACUGGGACUGAGACACGGCCCAGACUCCUACGGGAGGCAGCAGUGGGGAAUCUUGCGCAAUGGGCGAAAGCCUGACGCAGCGACGCCGCGUGAGGGAUGACGGCCUGGUGUAA
rnacentral:rRNA from 1 species